rnacentral:rRNA from 1 species
GACGAACGCUGGCGGCGUGCUUAACACAUGCAAGUCGAACGGAAAGGCCCUGCUUUUGUGGGGUGCUCGAGUGGCGAACGGGUGAGUAACACGUGAGUAACCUGCCCUUGACUUUGGGAGAACUUCAGGAAACUGGGGCUAAUACCGGAUAGGAGCUCCUGCUGCAUGGUGGGGGUUGGAAAGUUUCGGCUGUUGGGGAUGGACUCGCGGCUUAUCAGCUUGUUGGUCGGGUAGUGGCUUACCAAGGCUUUGACGGGUAGCCGGCCUGAGAGGGUGGACGGGCACAUUGGGACUGAGAGACGCAGCAGACGGCUACGGGAGGCAGCAGUCGGGAGUCUUGCACAAUGGGCCGGAGUGUGAUGCGGCAACGCCGGGUGCGUAAUGCCGGCUUUCGGGUUAUAAACAGCUGUCGCCUGUGACGAAGCGUGAGUGACGGUAAUGAGUAAAGAAGCACCGGCUAACUACGUG